rnacentral:rRNA from 1 species
ACGUGGGUAACCUGCCUGUAAGACUGGGAUAACUCCGGGAAACCGGGGCUAAUACCGGAUGCUUGUUUGAACCGGAUGGUUCAAACAUAAAAGGUGGCUUCGGCUACCACUUACAGAUGGACCCGCGGCGCAUUAUGUAGUUGGUGAGGUAAUGGCUCACCAAGGCGACGAUGCGUAGCCGACCUGAGAGGGUGAUCGGCCACACUGGGACUGAAACACGGCCCACACUCCUACGGGAGGCAGCAAUAGGGAAUCUUCCGCAAUGGAACGAAAGUCAGACGGAGCAACGCCGCGUGAGUGAUGAAGGUUUUCGGAUCGUAAAGCUCUGUUGUUAGGGAAGAACAAGUACCGUUCGAAUAGGGCGGUACCUUGACGGUACCUAACCAGAAAGCCACGGCUAACUACGUGCCAGCAGCCGCGGUAAUACGUAGGUGGCAAGCGUUGUCCGGAAUUAUUGGGCGUAAAGGGCUCGCAGGCGGUUUCUUAAGUCUGAUGUGAAAGCCCCCGGCUCAACCGGGGAGGGUCAUUGGAAACUGGGGAACUUGAGUGCAGAAGAGGAGAGUGGAAUUCCACGUGUAGCGGUGAAAUGCGUAGAGAUGUGGAGGAACACCAGUGGCGAAGGCGACUCUCUGGUCUGUAACUGACGCUGAGGAGCGAAAGCGUGGGGAGCGAACAGGAUUAGAUACCCUGGUAGUCCACGCCGUAAACGAUGAGUGCUA